GGCGGAGUUGCAGCACACUCUUAGCGUAGUAAGUUUUACCUCUCGCUUCUGCAGUGGGCGCAGCUACCUGCCGUAAAACUAAGGAGAUCAUAGCGCUCUCCUUUAG
rnacentral:rRNA from 1 species